rnacentral:lncRNA from 10 species
GGAGGAUCUGAGACCAAGAGGGCCUGAUCAGAUCGGAGUUUUGGAAAUGUAACCUGGCAGCCUAGGGGAGGACUGGACAGAGUGGGGAGGACAGAGGGGAACUGAUUCACCAGAGGGAGGGCGUGAAGUGAGUGAAUGAAUGAGUGAACCAAUGAAUGAACAAGAUGGGAAGGAAGGAGUGAGACCAGAUGGUAUCAGAUAGUAUCAGGGAGCAAAGACUAACGGGCCCAGUUUGUAUGAGGUCUUAGAAACCAGAUCAAGGAGGUGGGAUCAACGGUGCUUUCCUCUAAAGAAGCACAUUUCCGGCCGGGCGCGGUGGCUCACGCCUGUAGACCCAGCACUUUGGGAGGCCGAGGCGGGUGGAUCACCUGAGGUCAGGAGUUCGAGACCAGCCUGGCCAACACGGUGAAAACCCAUCUCUACUAAAAAUACAAAAAUUAGCUGGGCAUGGUGGGGGGUGCCUGUAAUCCACACUACACAGGAGGCUGAGGCAGAGAGAAUGGUUUGAACCCCCGGGAGGCAGAGACUGCAGUGAGCUGAGAUCACGCCACUGCACUCCAGCCUGGGCGACAGAGCGAGACCCUGUCUCAAAAAAAAAAAAAAAAAAAAGAAGCAGCAGCAGCAGCAAAUUUCCAGGAAGAAGCAGGCUAUGGAGAUCAGGGCAGGCAAAGGACAGAAUUAGGUUAGUGCAUCAACUGGGUCCAACCAGGAAGACACAUGUGUUUAUCUCCUGCAGCACCAAAAACCACCCAGAAGACAGCUCAGUGGACCCUAGCAGUGGAUUCUACAUGUCUGCAGAAAAUGAGCAGAAAACAAGCCAGAGUUACAGCUAUCUGCAGAGAGACUACAUCCAGGAGGUCUGAAGACUGAAACUGACACCAUGAAUCACAGUGGAAUUCUCCAAAUGGAAUGCAGCCACACCUCAGCUUCUGUGCUGCGUGCUGCCACUGAGGACAUUCGAUACCAUUGAAGCCGUCAGAUAGAGGCCGUAUUUCAAAAGGUCUACGGUGGCUCCGUUUCUUCUCUGAGACUUCAAAAGUCCUUCAAGAGUGAGUUCCCGUCUCAUUCUAUGUCCAGGAUGAAGACGGAUGGCCUCUUGGCACCCAUCUCUUUGGCAUGAACGAUGUGGGGAAACGUGAAUGGAAAUGGGGAACUGUUGCUGGCACCCAGAAGUCAUCCGGUCCGGAUGAAGCCAAGUCACAAGGAAGUGCCUCCAAUUAUUCUUCAUAAAUUCCUCUGAGGUUUCACUUCUUGUCCACACAAGACUUUAAUAAAAUGUGGCAUCUAACUGAAU